GAUGAACGCUGGCGGCGUGCUUAACACAUGCAAGUCGAGCGAGAGAACUCGAAGGAAAACUUCGGUCGGAAUUCGAAUGAUCUAGCGGCGGACGGGUGAGUAACGCGUGGGAAACCUGCCUUGUACAAGGGGAUAGCCUCGGGAAACCGGGAUUAGUACCCUAUGAAACCACAAGAACACAUGUUCUAAUGGUCAAAGCUCCGGCGGUACAAGAUGGUCCCGCGUCUGAUUAGCUAGUUGGAGAGGUAACGGCUCACCAAGGCGACGAUCAGUAGCCGGCCUGAGAGGGUGAACGGCCACACUGGAACUGAGACACGGUCCAGACUCCUACGGGAGGCAGCAGUGGGGAAUAUUGCACAAUGGGGGAAACCCUGAUGCAGCGACGCCGCGUGAGCGAAGAAGGCUUUCGGGUCGUAAAGCUCUGUCCUAAGGGAAGAUAGUGACGGUACCUUAGGAGGAAGCCCCGGCUAACUACGUGCCAGCCGCCGCAGUAACAC
rnacentral:rRNA from 1 species